AAAGCAAGAACAAAGGAAGAAAAAAAAGAACAAAAACCCUAGAGUGAAAAUUUAAGAGAAAAUUGGUGGAUUUCAAGUAAUCAAGCAAUCAAAGGUAAAAUUUCUUGAUUUUGACUUGUGAUCUACCUUUCCCAUACAUUCUUUUGCAUUUUCCAUGGUUGAAUCACAUGAUUUCAUGAUGGGUCUCUUGCUAGCCAAACACUUAGAGAGAGAUUUUGAUGGUUGUUUUGGUUAGAUUUUAAGAUAUUCUAGUGUUUUUAGUUGAUUGGUGAUGUGUAGUAUGAAAAUCAAGUAAGAAAAAUUCAUGUUCUUCCAUAACCCAUCAUUGGUCGAAUUCUCCAUGUGAAAUAUUGAUGAUGAUUUUGAUUUUAUUUCAAGUGAUUUGGUUAGGAAUUAGUGAUUUAUGGUGUGAGAAUCAAGCUUGAAAAAUUAUAUUGUUAGUGAACCCUCCAUGGUCGAAUUUUCCAAGAGAAAAUGUGAGGAUGAUUUUGCCACAUUUCAAGUUAUUUAAUUUGUGUUUGAUGAUUUGGAGUAUUGGGAGAAAAAUGGAAUUAUUUAGAGUUAAAUUAGACAUAUUGGCCAAUUAAUCGGGUGAUAGAUCGAAUUAGGCCAAUACCAUUUUAUUUAGGUACAUAAUUGAAUUUAUAUUGAACACUAUAUUUAGAUAGUUACCCGAGUAUUUUACAUCCCAUUUCAUGCAUUAGUAUAAAGCCUGAAUUGGAUUUACAAUGGUUUAGCACAAAUGUAGUAAAUGGUUUAUUGUGCAUUAUGUGUAGGUGGUGAGCUUUCUGGCAAAAGUAAAGAGAUAGUACCCGAGGAUCAAGAAUCAGAGUACUCAAAAUUCGACUCCCGAAAUAGUGAGUAACCUUACUAUUGUCUUAAUUAUCUAAAGUAGUUUUUACUCAUUUUUGUGAAUUGAUAGAAAAAUGAGUUUAAAUGGUAAAUCUUUAUGUUUUAUAAGCAAAAUGUGAUUAAAUGAAAUGAUUUUAUAAAAUUGUCUUGAAAUUGAAAGAUGGUUUUGAAAAUGGAGUAAUUAGAGACUAAUUGUUGUGUUAUAAAUUAUGGUUUGAAUUUAAUGGCUUAUGAUAAUAUUGGCAUGAAUGGUUGAAUUGGUAAAUAUGCUGAAAAUGUAUGAACUAUUGAUUUACCUUGAGAGGCUGUAAAAUAAAAUAAUUUUCAUGUCAUGCUAUCGCAAAUUUUAUUGUAUGGUGGUUUAGCUUACUGCAGUGGGCGGGUUCUGUGGACCAGCCUUUUUAAGGGGCAUGGAAUCUUGUUAUAUAUAUCUUACCUCGAUUGGGGAGGCACGUAGGGUAACUCCCGAGGUACAACUUUAGAGUUCACUUCACGCCAAACCACCACGUGAGGGUGAACUCAGCCAACGCCAAGGAACGACUAUGUUUUCAAAAGAAAAAAACAUGAUUUAUGCGUACAUGACUUUUUAACAGCCUUGGCGGACUUGGUUGGGAUAGCCCCAGGCCAAGGUAUCCCUAAUAACUGAGUAUGAGAAUGAUUUUGGCACGAGCCAAACUUUUCAGGAAAUCAUAAGCCUUGUUGUUUAUUUUGGGUGAAAUGAAUCUAUUUUAUCUUAUUAAAAUGAGUUCGAAAUGCUGUGAAUCAUUUUUAUGUUAAACUAUUUAUCUGUCUCCAUUUUUUCAGCUUUAGAUAUUUUAGAUAGUAUUUUUUUACUCAUUGAGAUAAUAUAAUCUCACCACCCUCCUUUCCACUAAUUUUAGGCUCAGGAUAGUAGGUAGAAAGCUCGUUUCGUUGAGGGCUACAGUUGGACUUGCAUCCUCAAAAACUGUAGGUUUACCGCUUUUGAUAUUUUUGGUCGUUCGUGGGCCCACGUGUCACUGUAAAUUAAAUCGUAUGCUUUGGUUAUCUGUAUUACAGUAUGUAUUAAUUUAUUUAGCUUUUACGCUACAAAA
rnacentral:lncRNA from 1 species